rnacentral:rRNA from 1 species
GAUGAACGCUGACAGAAUGCUUAACACAUGCAAGUCUACUUGAAUUUGGGUUUUUAACUUAGGUUUGGGUGGCGGACGGGUGAGUAACGCGUAAAGAACUUGCCUCACAGCUAGGGACAACAUUUAGAAAUGAAUGCUAAUACCUAAUAUUAUGAUAAUAGGGCAUCCUAUAAUUAUGAAAGCUAUAUGCGCUGUGAGAGAGCUUUGCGUCCUAUUAGCUAGUUGGUAAGGUAAAGGCUUACCAAGGCGAUGAUAGGUAGCCGGCCUGAGAGGGUGGACGGCCACAAGGGGACUGAGAUACGGCCCUUACUCCUACGGGAGGCAGCAGUGGGGAAUAUUGGACAAUGGAGGAAACUCUGAUCCAGCAAUUCUGUGUGUGUGAAGAAGGUCUUCGGAUUGUAAAACACUUUUAGUUGGGAAGAAACAAAUGACGGU